AGAGUUUGAUCAUGGCUCAGGACGAACGCUGGCGGCGUGCCUAAUACAUGCAAGUCGAGCGGACAGAAGGGAGCUUGCUCCCGGGAAGUCAGCGGCGGACGGGUGAGUAACACGUAGGUAACCUGCCCCUUAGACUGGGAUAACUCCGGGAAACCGGAGCUAAUACGGGAUAAUAAAGAGAAUCACCUGAUUCUCUUUUGAAAGACGGUUUCGGCUGUCACUAAGGGAUGGGCCUGCGGCGCAUUAGCUAGUUGGUAAGGUAACGGCUUACCAAGGCGACGAUGCGUAGCCGACCUGAGAGGGUGAUCGGCCACACUGGGACUGAGACACGGGCCAGACUCCUACGGGAGGCAGCAGUAGGGAAUCUUCCGCAAUGGACGAAAGUCUGACGGAGCAACGCCGCGUGAGUGAGGAAGGCCUUCGGGUCGUAAAGCUCUGUUGUGAGGGAAGAACAAGUACCGGGGUAACUACCGGUACCUUGACGGUACCUCACCAGAAAGGCACGGGUAACUACGUGCCAGCAGCCGCGGUAAUACCUAGGUGGCAAGCCUUUUUCCGGAAUUUUUGGGGGGUAAAGGCGCGCAGGGGGGUUCUUAAGUCUGGAUGUGAAAUCUCGGGGUCGAAACCCGGCUCAACAUUGGGAACUGGGGAGUUUGAUUCGAAAGAGGAGAUGGGAUUCCGCGUUUAUGUGGAAUGCGUGGAUAUUGGGGGGAAACCAUUGGGGAGGGCAAUUUUUGAGCUGUAACUGACUCUGAAGCCCAUUCAACGGCAGUCUCAAAAGCCCGAUAAGAUCCCUGGGGCUCCCGGUUUAAUCAGAACAAAGCUCGAACUACCUUACCAGGUCUUGAUAUCCUUUGACCCACUCUGAGAAAGAGAGCUUCCCUUCGGGGGCAAAGUGACAGGUGGUGCAUGGUUGUCGUCAGCUCGUGUCGUGAGAUGUUGGGUUAAGUCCCGCAACGAGCGCAACCCUUGAUCUUAGUUGCCAGCAUUUAGUUGGGCACUCUAAGGUGACUGCCGGUGACAAACCGGAGGAAGGUGGGGACGACGUCAAAUCAUCAUGCCCCUUAUGACCUGGGCUACACACGUGCUACAAUGGAUGGUACAAAGGGCAGCGAAACCGCGAGGUGGAGCCAAUCCCAUAAAGCCAUUCUCAGUUCGGAUUGUAGGCUGCAACUCGCCUACAUGAAGCCGGAAUUGCUAGUAAUCGCGGAUCAGCAUGCCGCGGUGAAUACGUUCCCGGGUCUUGUACACACCGCCCGUCACACCACGAGAGUUUGUAACACCCGAAGUCGGUGAGGUAACCUUUUGGAGCCAGCCGCCUAAGGUGGGACAAAUGAUUGGGGUGAAGUCGUAACAAGGUAGCC
rnacentral:rRNA from 1 species